UUUUGAGACAACAAUUUACUCAAAAUGUAAAUUUUUCCCCCUUUUUUUGGAAAAUUUUGAACAUUUGACAUUAUGAUAAAUUAUGUUUAUUUACUUUAUUUAGAGUUUUUAUCAAUUUUUGGAAAUUGAUUUGGAUGAAAUGUAAAUGUUGUAAUGUCAAUUUCCAAUUUUUUUAAUUAAGCCAAGAGAACAAAGGCAUAUUCAAUACAAAUAUCAAUAAUUGUUUAAGAUGAAUGGAAAGGUUCCAAAUUAAAAACAGUUUUGCAAUAAUAUUUGUUGGUUAGUUUUCUAUUUUAUAUUUUUCAAACUUUUUACAAAUGUUAAACAGGUAGUAACAUAUUGAUUAGAGGGUUAUAUUUUAAUUUUUUUUCUCAGAUACAUGUAAAUAUGCGGGUAUUUCUAAUACAAAUGUUUGUUUAUUAAUUAAAUGAUUGUAUGACAAGUUCUUCAUUUUAAUGUAUUGUCUAACAGAAGUUUACAGCUAGGUUAUUUAAAUAAAAUCUACAAAAAAUAUUUUAAAUGAUAUUCCAUCAAUAAGUCAGUAAAAAUCAGUCCUGAUGAACCAAAAUCUUCUCAGUCAAAUGGUUGAGUUCCUCUUUUAGUUUCAAAUUGAUUAAGUAAAAUAUCACACUUGUUUUAGAUCUGCUAUUUAAAAUCACCUCAGAUAUUAUAAAAUGCAUGCUGUGUUUAGUAAAUGAAAGCUUUUGUAUGUUUAUUGUUCAACUGUUGUCAAUUCUUCAGAAUAAAAUUAUUAGAUAGGUCAUUUGAACUAUUGUAUUAUUAUGACUAUUAUGUGAUAAACUUUUUUGGCUUAAAAUUGAUUAGAAAUAGAUAAAGAUCUAUGUGUUUGAUAUUCAUUUGUAUAUUUAAGAAAUGAUUAAUACAUAAUCAAUAAAAA
rnacentral:misc_RNA from 1 species